rnacentral:misc_RNA from 1 species
GGAUGAAGAACGUAGCGAAAUGCGAUAAGUAGUGUGAAUUGCAGAAUUCAGUGAAUCAUCGAAUCUUUGAACGCACAUUGCGCCCGCCAGUAUUCUGGCGGGCAUGCCUGUUCGAGCGUCAUUACAACCCUCAGGCCCCCGGGCCUGGCGUUGGGGAUCGGCGGAGCCCCCCGUGGGCACACGCCGUCCCCCAAAUACAGUGGCGGUCCCGCCGCAGCUUCCAUCGCGUAGUAGCUAACACCUCGCGACUGGAGAGCGGCGCGGCCACGCCGUAAAACACCCAACUCUUCUGAAGUUGACCUCGAAUCAGGUAGGAAUACCCGCUGAACUUAAGCAUAUCAAUAAGCGGAGGA